UACGGGGGGAGCAAGCGUUGUUCGGAUUUACUGGGCGUAAAGGGCGCGUAGGCGGCCACCGCAAGUCGGUUGUGAAAUCUCCGGGCUUAACCCGGAAAGGUCAAUCGAUACUGCGGGGCUAGAGUGCAGAAGGGGCAACUGGAAUUCUCGGUGUAGCGGUGGAAUGCGUAGAUAUCGAGAGGAACACCUGCGGCGAAGGCGGGUUGCUGGGCUGACACUGACGCUGACAGCGCGAAAGCUAGGGGAGCGAACGGG
rnacentral:rRNA from 1 species